CUACGGGUUGCAGCAGUGGGGAAUAUUGCACAAUGGGGGGAACCCUGAUGCAGCAACGCCGCGUGGAGGAUGACGCAUUUCGGUGUGUAAACUCCUUUUAUAUGUCAAGAAAAUGACGGUAGCAUAUGAAUAAGCACCGGCUAACUCCGUGCCAGCAGCCGCGGUAAUACGGAGGGUGCAAGCGUUACUCGGAAUCACUGGGCGGAAAGGACGCGUAGGCGGGUUGGAAAGUCAGGUGUGAAAUCCUACAGCUUAACUGUAGAACUGCACUUGAAACUUCUAAUCUAGAGUAUGGGAGGGGGAGAUGGAAUUAGUGGUGUAGGGGUAAAAUCCGUAGAUAUCACUAGGAAUACCUAAAGCGAAGGCGAUCUCCUGGAACAUUACUGACGCUAAGGCGUGAAAGCGUGGGGAGCAAACAGGAUUAGAUACCCGCGUAGUC
rnacentral:rRNA from 1 species